UACGAAGGGGGCUAGCGUUGUUCGGAAUUACUGGGCGUAAAGCGCGCGCAGGCAGUUUCUCAAGUCAGUGGUGAAAGCCCGGAGCUCAACUCCGGAACUGCCAUUGAAACUGUGAGACUUGAGGACGAGAGAGGUGAGUGGAAUUCCCAGUGUAGAGGUGAAAUUCGUAGAUAUUGGGAAGAACACCGGUGGCGAAGGCGGCUCACUGGCUCGUUUCUGACGCUCAGGCGCGACAGCGUGGGGAUCAAACAGG
rnacentral:rRNA from 1 species